rnacentral:lncRNA from 1 species
GAACACAAAAUGGCGACACGUGGUUAGCAUUCGUCGCCAACGAGAAAUUGGGGUCGGCCCGAAAGCUCUAGAAUGCACCCCUCUUCCUCCCCGGGGCCUUCCACCUCCGCGAGUUUUAUGACUUAAAAAAGCCCACAGGCUGGUCUGAAGAGGAAGACAAACAUAAAGAUGAAGUGCUUAAUUCAAGGUCACACAAUGUCGGGGAUGGACCUCCAGAUUUCCUUACUGGUGAGACGUGGUCUUGUAACACAGUGGUUAAGAAUGUGACUUUGGAGCCAGCCUGCUAGGGGCUGAAUUCUGACUCAGCCAUUUACUAACUGUGUGACCUUAGGUGGAGUCUCACUCUGUAGCCCAAGCUGGAGUGGCGUGAUCUCGACUCACUGCAACCUCCGCCUCCUGGGAUCAAGUGAUUCUCGUGCCUCAGCCUCCUGAGUAGCCGGGACUACAGGUCACAGAAUUUUCCACACUCCUUGACAGAGGUGCUUAACCCUUAUCCAUCAGCAUUCUCAGACAGCACCUCCGGUUAGGGACAGUAUCUGACCGUCCGACAUCCCUGCAGCCCCCAU